AUUGAACGCUGGCGGCAUGCCUUACACAUGCAAGUCGAACGGCAGCACGGGAGCAAUCCUGGUGGCGAGUGGCGAACGGGUGAGUAAUAUAUCGGAACGUGCCCAGUCGUGGGGGAUAACGCAGCGAAAGCUGUGCUAAUACCGCAUACGAUCCAUGGAUGAAAGCGGGGGACUCGCAAGGGCCUCGCGCGAGUGGAGCGGCCGAUAUCAGAUUAGGUAGUUGGUGGGGUAAAGGCUCACCAAGCCGACGAUCUGUAGCUGGUCUGAGAGGACGACCAGCCACACUGGAACUGAGACACGGUCCAGACUCCGACGGGAGGCAGCAGUGGGGAAUUUUGGACAAUGGGCGCAAGCCUGAUCCAGCAAUGCCGCGUGCAGGAUGAAGGCCUUCGGGUUGUAAACUGCUUUUGUACGGAACGAAAAGGCUCUGGUUAAUACCUGGGGCACAUGACGGUACCGUAAGAAUAAGCACCGGCUAACUACGUGCCAGCCGCCGCGGUAAGAC
rnacentral:rRNA from 1 species